GGGCCCGCACAAGUGGUGGAGCAUGUGGUUUAAUUCGAUGCAACGCGAAGAACCUUACCAACCCUUGAAAUCUAGCGAAGUUCACAGAGAUGAGAAUGUGCCUUCGGGAACGCUAUGACAGGUGUUGCAUGGCUGUCGUCAGCUCGUGUCGUGAGAUGUAUGGUUAAGUCCAGUAACGAGCGCAACCCCUAUCCUUAUUUGCCAGCGCGUUAAGGCGGGAACUAUAGGGAGACUGCCGGGUGAAACCCGGAGGAAGGCGGGGACGAGGUCAAGUCAUCAUGGCCCUUAUGGGUUGGGCUACACACGUGCUACAAUGGGAAGUACAGAGGGAUGCGAAAGCGCGAGCUGGAGCCAAACCCUUAAACGUCUCGUAGUCCGGAUUGGAGUCUGCAACUCGACUCCAUGAAGUCGGAAUCGCUAGUAAUCG
rnacentral:rRNA from 1 species